GCUUAACACACGGCGCAUGCGCAACAUAGGGAGCUUAACACACGGCGCAUGCGCAACAUAGGGAGCUUAACACACGGCGCAUGCGCAACAUAGGGAGCUUAAAACACUGGGCAUGCGCAACAUAGGGAGCUUAACACACGGCGCAUGCGCGGCAUAGGGAGCUUAACACACGGCGCAUGCGCAACAUAGGGAGCUUAACACACGGCGCAUGCGCAACAUAGGGAGCUUAACACACGGCGCAUGCGCAGCAUAGGGCGCUUAACACACGGCGCAUGCGCAACAUAGGGAGCUUAACACACGGCGCAUGCGCAGCAUAGGGCGCUUAACACACGGCGCAUGCGCAACAUAGGGAGCUUAACACACGGCUCAUGCGCGGCAUAGGGCGCUUAACACACGGC